rnacentral:rRNA from 1 species
CAGCCGCCACGGGAAUACGUAGGGUGCAAGCGUUAAUCGGAAUUACUGGGCGUAAAGCGUGCGCAGGCGGUUAUAUAAGACAGAUGUGAAAUCCCCGGGCUCAACCUGGGAACUGCAUUUGUGACUGUAUAGCUAGAGUACGGCAGAGGGGGAUGGAAUUCCGCGUGUAGCAGUGAAAUGCGUAGAUAUGCGGAGGAACACCGAUGGCGAAGGCAAUCCCCUGGGCCUGUACUGACGCUCAUGCACGAAAGCGUGGGGAGCAAACAGGAUUAGAUACCCGAGUAGUCCCUGUCUCUUAUAC